GUCCAGGUAAAACCUUUGUGCUCUACUGAGGAUUUUGGCUCCAACUUCCAUCCUCUUUUUAUUACGUCUACACCGAUCAAAAGGCCACGGAUGGAAAAUAGCGGAAAUGAGAUCAAUGACACAUCUUCGGGUACAGUAAAGGGGUCAACAACGUUGGGUUACACAUACCAGCCUGAUAUCACUCAAGAGGACAGAUUUAUUUAAACAUACUUUAAAUAAUUAAGACAUCACUAACAGGCAAAGCAAAAUGUAAUGAGUAUAAUGUGUAAUAUUUUGCAAAAUGCUCUUCUCUGGACUUCAUUUCUCUUGCAAACUAAUGAGCUUUGGACACUGACUUGCCUGAGGUAAAUGAAAUGCUAUGUGAGAUUUUGUUCACAAGCUGAUUUAUUGGCUUCUUUCUGUGGUUGAGACACUGACUAAGUGAUUACAUGAGCGUGAGAUGUUCAUUCAUGCUAAUUUAGUGUUAAAAUUAAAAAAGAGGAAGGGAUGAUCGUGCUGCUGAACCAAACAUUUUGGGUACGAAUAUGUGUAUGUUACAACCCUAACACACACACAUAUAUGUAUAUGUAAACAAAUCAGAUGACAGUUUGUAAUGUUAUUGCACAGAUAUGUUCUCACUGUGUCCACAAAACCCAGUGAAACAGCCAGCCAUACAUCAAGAAUAUCCCAGCUGGCAAUCUGCACUUGUCAGCUGCAGUAGCUUUCACUGGGGCAUCAUACAAACAAGUUUGCAAGGUUUUCUCAGCUCUGUGCCUUGAAUGUAUGUGUCCGAGGACAUUUUUCAACCAUCAAAAGGCUUUCCUCAUACCAACCAAUUUGUGGCAGUGGAGGUCAGAGCAAGAAACACUUGUGUAACAGGCAAAGCUAUCUGGAAAGGCUGUGGUUUUGGGAGGUGAUAUGAGAGCUGAUUCAUCAGAGAAACGACGUAGGUGCAAGCUCGGAUGGAACUGGAAGGUUUUUUGUGGAGCAUCAACUUCUUAGAAUCUGAAGGUAUGAAGAUUGGUGCACUUGUCACUUAUUGCCAUCCUUCGAUUCAGGAGUACCUCAGGGAGCAGCAACUUGACAUCCGACAUUAUUUUGACACUUGGCAUGUAUCAAAAGAGGUCUUGCCAAGAAAAUAGAUGCUCUUGGGAAAGAAAAAGCUUGUGGAGAAGUUCUUUCCUGGAGAGAGAGUGUUGUGAAUCACCUCUACUGGUGAAGACCGUAGAAGAAGCUGUGGCAAAGUGGAGGUUAAUAACAAAUCAUGUGCAAAAUGUGCAUCAUCACAGCAGUGAGAUAUUCCCUGUUUGUGCCCAUCUACCGCUUGAGCAGCGAGCAUGGCUGAAACCUAAUGAAUCCUUGCUGCUCUUCACUUCAGUGAGAACACAGAUCUGGAACCAGCACGCAACGACAAUGGUGAUGUUUCAGUUCAAGUUAGAUGGCCAAAGUUCAAAAAGGGUGAAUACAGCAUUUUCAGCAGGAAAACAGCACCUACAUAUACAACUAUGUGGACACCCUGCUGAAGAUGCUGUUUGAAGAUGUCAUUCCCAACCCUGACCCAUACCAGGAACGCACGAGUGGGGUGGAGGUCCCUGAUGAUUUGUGUGCUGCCUUCGAAAGGCCCGACUUGCAGGAAGCUGCAGCAAGACGUUGGUCCCGCUUUUCAUAGCGUCCUUUGCUUGUUUCACGUGAACAUUUAAUGUGUCAAGACAGAAUGUGAGAGUCUGUGAAAGAAGGAAAAUGUGUAUGUUGUUUUGAUUGUACAGUGUGUGGGGGGAAAAGCAUGCGGUCUUGUGUAAGUAGUUAAUAGCAAACAAAGCAAACUCAGAACUACACAGUUCUGCAAAAGAUUAAAAUGAGAAUGAAAUGGUACAAAUCUUGGCAUCAUUUAUUAAGAAAAGAUUGAAACACUGUAUUAAUAAGCAUAUAACCAAGGCAGUUGGAAUUCUUGGUAUUGUUCAGAAGGAACUGUAUUUCAGAUUUUUUUUUCUACAAUACAUGAUGGGAUAACAACACGGACACUUUUCCCCAUGUAGCCCCAGCACCACCUCACAAAUGUCCUGUAGGCUGAAAGUGAAAUUGUAAGAAACUUAUCAAGUUAUAAUUAACAAAAGAAUUUUACAGUUGAGAUGUGAAGCCUACAUUACAGCAUAUAAAACACUGACAAGUGCAAAAUAGUAGUAUUAGCUCUGGUAUUUAAUAUUUAUUACUUACUGCUCCUUUGUGAAGUCGUCUUGGUCAUAAUCACCAUAAUACUGGAGCAUGCAUGCAUACUCAACUUGAAGAACCCAUGGAUUGAGACAUACUGCUUGGAAACCAGGGUGUUGAGUCAUGCAUUCAGGUUGGGGGUGAGUUUCAGAACAUUUGUCCAUUACCUUUAAAACAGUAAAGAGGUUAAGUGCAAGUUUUCUUUCUUUAUUCAAGUCCAAACUGUUAGAAAACUGCGAAUGAAAGAACCUCAACACCUGAGUGCGUUUCCUAGAUGGGAAUCAGUUAUAACUUAUUUAUAUAUUUGCAUAACUUCAAUCAGCCAUUUCUUGUUAGCAAUGGAUUAAAAUACAGGGGACAUAUUUGUGUUUCAAUUCACAAUAUGAACAGCUGUUCACUUUGACUUUAGCCUAUAAGUUAGUUUUAGAACAUGAUGUUAUCUGUUCUGACAUACAGUGUGAAAGCAUUUGAAAAUUUGGCAGUAAAAUUACAUUGUUUUGGUCUUGGUUGAGCUUGUGUGUAAAAUAAGUUCAAAUAAUUUUACAUUUGUGUUAACUGUAUGCAUUUUGUGUCAAAGCAACAAGAAAUGUGUUAAUUGUAUAGCCCAGUGGUGUGGUGGGUAUACUCUUUACACCUGUAGAUCGAUUGCUUUGUUCCGAAACAGGGAUUAAAAUUAUUACAAUGUUGCUUUUUUAUUGUUGGUGCGGUUUGCUUUCACAAGGCAAAGUUUCUAAACGAACCAAAAUUGUUAAUACAAGUCACGUGCGAGUAAACUGUCCUCUCGUUGGUGCAUGGAGCUGGAAUGACAAUAAACAUGAUUCAUUUGGAAAGAGAGGCAAACAAACUCUCUCUCACACACACACACACAUCAGGAUGGAACGACAACAGCUUUGAGGGCUUAUUGUUUUUUUUGUGUUUGUUUGUUUUUUUGUAGCUGUCGAUAUUUAUUAAUCAUUUUGAGCAGAAGUCCAGGAUUCGUCGGCAAAACCCAAUGCUUUUCAGGGAACUUACGUAAUUACCCAUUAUACAGUGUGAUAUAGCCUGGCUCGUUGGUCCGUUGGAUCUUUUUUACAGUCUAUGGUUGGAUCGGAUUGCUUUCUCACUACAACCGAACCGCUCCAGAGUUUGUUUUCAAUCGAGCAGAGACCACCUCGUUCAGGCGAUCUCGGACCGAUUGUUAAGGCGCGGAUCCGAGCGCGAUUGCCGUGUUCACAUAAUCCCAAACGAACCGAGCUAAGGGGGGAAACGUGCCAGGUUCCGAAUCAACGGGCCAGGUGUGAAAACACCCUUAAUUUAUGCCCCCAUUUUUUUUUUACAGCCCGGCAAAGGAUGGACGACCUGCUUCAUAAACAGUGACAUGUAAAACUAGUCUUGCAUAUUUAGUUCACUAUUGUAAUAUUUGCACACUGUCACUUGACUUCUGCUGCUUGAGUAAGGAUCAUUAUGAACGUAAUAUUAUCCACAGAAGAGGUGCAGAUUUAGCAGUAAAGAAUUAAAAUAAAUAAAUAUAAAUAGACUGCAGCAACUUACAUUUUGUCAGAACCUCUAGUAAAUUGCAUGCUAUUUUGUAAGUUGUCGGUUCAGAAUUGUGAUCUCUAUAAAAAAAUCAUGAUUCUCAAUCAUUUCAGAAGUGAGGGGGACAGAAAUGUCAAAUAUAAUAACUUUGUUGUCUAAUUGACAGGUUUUAUUACCAUUAUUAUUAUUUAUUAAUUAUUACCUCUUGCUUUUAAUUGGCUAAGAAAUCAAAUACACUGCUUGACAAUAACCAAUAAUUUAUAAUAUUUUUCCUGCUGAGCACGUGCACUCAACUUCUUUGGUCAACCAUGGCAAGGCCUGUUCUGAGUGGAACCUGUCCUGUUAAACCGCUGUAUGGUCUUGGCCACCGUGCUGCAGCUCAGUUUCAGGGUCUUGGCAAUCUUCUUAUAGCCUACGCCAUCUUUAUGUAGAGCAACAAUUCUUUUUUUCAGAUCCUCAGAGAGUUUUUUUGCCAUGAGGUGCCAUGGUGAACUUCCAGAGACCAGUAUGAGAGAGUGAGAGCGAUAGCACCAAAUUUAACACACCUGCUCCCCAUUCACACCUGAGACCUUGUAACACUAGCGAGUCACAUAUCCACCAAUUUGGACAUUUUCACUUAUGCCGAGUUCACACUGCACGAUUUUAGCCCGAUUUUUCACUCGCCGACAGGUUUUGAUAAAUCGCCGACAAAUGCCCGACAUCGGAGGCAAAUCGGAGCUCGUUCAUGCGAGUGACAAUCGUGCAGUGUGAAUUACCAAAGACGCGAUCUGAGAGAAUCGCCGACGCCCGUGAAAUAUUUGGCAUGUUAAAUAUCUGGAGCUGUCGGCGAUUCACAAUCACGCUGUGUGCAAUGAUUUCUGACUGAAAACUACAUCACGAUGACCUUCAGCCAAUCAGAGACAAAGAUACAGGGCAGAGGGAAGUUCGGUGAGGAGUUAUAGACCAUAUCAGUAUUUUAAUAUGUACAAUUAUAUCAUACAGAAACAAGCACAAACACUUGACCAGCCGCAACAUCAGCAUAACAGUUACUGCAAAAUUAUUAUUUACCACUCUUUGCAGAACACAAUCCCUGUUCCCUGCAUCUCCCUCCUGCAUAAUCUGUUUUUGUAGCUGGAAAUCAGCACACAGACAAUUUGCGGGCUAUAUUUUUUUAAUACUUCCAGUCUCGCUCGAGAACAACGGGCUGAUGCGCGCAGGUUCUCGCGUUAUUUCCUUAUCACUUCUCGCAUGUGUUUUGUUGUGAAACGUAGUCUGCGGAUCAGACAGAGUUGUCGGCGAUUCUUCCUAUUGUGAAAUCGUGCAAUGUGAAAGCCCCUGUCGCCGAUCCAUCGUGCAAUGUGAACACAGCAGCGACUGAAUGCUACCCCAGAUAGUCACACAGUGUGAAAACAACAGCGAUCCGACGAGUUUGAAAAUCGUGCAGUGUGAACUCGGCAUUAGGGGUGUACUCACUUUUGUGGCCAGCGGUUUAGCCAUUAAUGGCUAUGUGUUAAGUUAUUUUGAGGGGACAGCAAAUUUACACUGUUAUACAAGCUGUACACUCACUACUUUACAUUGUAGCAAAGUGUCAUUUCUUCAGUGUUGUCACAUGAAAAGAUAUAAUAAAAUAUUUACAAAAAUGUGAGGGGUGUACUCACUUCUGUGAGAUACUGUAUAUAUAUCUAUGAUUUUGUCGCCCUAGGUGAAAUCCAUAUUGGCGCCCCCGCAUCCCUCUCCCAAACAAGAUAAUUUAAGAUUACAUACAAAAUAAUAUAAAACUGAUUAUGUAAACACUUAAAUCUUUAAUAGCAACACAGAUACAUUUCCAAAUUAUAUUUGUAGCUAUAUAUAAUUUCUUUUCAGACACCAGUUUCUUGUCAUAUUCAAAUAGGUUGUCACAGUAACGACACUAAUUUGUAGAGACAGCACAUUAUUUGUAAAUUGACUGUUAAGAUAAAAAAAAAAAUUGUUAUCUGUAAUACCAUUGUAGCCACUAGAUGCAUGUAUAGCCCUAUGUAACAGUACCUAGUUACUAAGAAAUUGUCAUCACACAUAAAUUAGUUUUAUUACAUUUGGAUUUGAAAACAUGUUUAGAUAUUAUCAAUGGCUACUUUGUCUUUAUCUGUUUUUUUGUUCAAUUGUUUUGUUGUUGUUGUUUGAAACACUGAUUUAAAGUGUCAGUUAUUGCUUUUUUUUUUUUUUAGUCAAACCUAUAAAAACCUUUGUUACCCCAAACUAAAUAUAAAAGCCUGAUCAUCAGUGGCAUAAAAGUAAUCAGAAUGCAGGUACUUGUUCCUUUGUUACUCAUUAAUGCAUGAACUUCCCCUUUAAAUAACAUGAUGCUCUGCCUUCUAUGUUGUGUAUGACUCUACUCCCAUUUAAAGCGCGGUUAGAAGAGAAUUAAUUGAUUCAGCAUUUAGACACUUCCAUAAGGAUGCGUUAAAUUCUAAGACUAUAGAAUACUUUGUUCGACAAAUUCGACAAAGCAGUUUAAUAAAGGAUAUACUGAUCUCGUGAUAUAGAGAAUUUUACUAUACCAAUAUUUUUUAAUUGGCUAUUAAAAGUUUUAUAUGGGAAUAUUACACAACACACUGAUCCUUUAACAAUGCAUUGGCGCAAAAACACACACCUUAUUGGACCAAUUUCGCAACAUGAUUUCUCGAUUACCACAAAUGCCUAAACAAAAUGUUUUUGUGCACUUUUUACUAUACCAAUAUUUUAAAUUGGCCUUUGAACUUAGCUUUAUUGCAUGGCAAAAAAAAAAAAAAGUCAAGCACCUUGCCAAAGCACUGACAGAGCCCAUUGAUCUUAUGGUGUUGUUGCGCGCUCCAAAUGCAAACUUUACUAGAGGUCGACCGAUUCAUCGGUUUUGCCGUUUAAUCAGCACCGAUAGUGGCGGCAAUCAACUAUCGGUGCCGAUAAAACGGCAAAAAUCCAUGCCGAUAGUUUUCCGGUUUGCACCCAUUGCUGGAGUGGCUGAGAAGGGUCCGCUGGCAUUAUACAGUACGAGAGCGGCCUCUAGAGGCGGAAAUCACUGACACACAUACAUACAUACAGUCAGUAGGCCUACCUGAUCCUGCACUUCUGUAACAAACCUGCCUAACCUCCCAACCAGGGCCGUGCAGAGACCUUUGGAGGGGCAGGUGCUCAAAGUAUAAAAGGGGUCAUGGAACAUGACUUUUAAUAGGGCUGUGCUCCUUGCUGAUAUGUGUAUCAAAAUGGAUGCUUCUGUAUUGAUACAGCAGCAAAUGCCAUCACGCAGGUUUGAAAAAGAAACACAGAACAGAAAAGAUAAUUUUAAGUUUAAAUGUUAAAGACAUUUUUUGCACUUCUUAAUUACUCUGGAAUUAUAUUAUUAUUAUUAUUGUUGUUGUUAUUAUUGAGUUUACAGGGUAUGGUUUUGCUGUUGUAAACACUACUGAUGUUGUUGAAACAAAAUAUUCCUGUCUUAUUUAAAAUAGGAUUCUAUUCCUGUUCUGUAUUUAUUCAUUUUUUUGAAUGAUAAUGAUUAUAAAAACAGGAUUGACCAGAAAAUCAGUAUAAGCCUGUUUUACUAGUGUUGUGAUAAUUAUUUUUAAGGCACUCUACGUUUUUUAAAUAAAUAGCCUACUGUAAUAAUAAUAGUUCAAAGUAUGAAUAGUUUUUAGUCAGAUAACAUAAAAAACCUCAACACGCUUUAAACCUUUCCCAAUUAAACAGCAAGAGCGAAAGAGAACAAGCACCUUUGUUUAUAUUGCUGUGUAGAACUAUGUUAGCUGCAUUUUUAAUAUUUAAUAUUAAUUUUAAUAAAAUGUAAAUUUGUCCCCCACACUUUAUUCGAGCUUGAGCAGGUGUAUUCAGAUAGAGGUUUCUAGAUUUAAAUGAAAAGAGACAUGACCUGACGUUUUAUCCGUAUCCAAAAUGAGGAGAUGUGAAUACCAGGAGAGCUGAACACUCUCAUGCAGUGCAUGUUUCAUUCAUACUCGAAGCCAGAGGGCGCUCUCGCGCAGAAACUUAUGACGUGCAGGAAAUCCCUAAUAUGGACAAAUGCACACACUAUCGCUGUAGCUGAGUUGAAUAAACAGCAGGAACGUUUUUACUGAUGAAAUGUGAAGAUGAACACACGAUUGCGAAAAUAUAUGGUUUAUGUGUGUUUUUCAAGUUAUCUCCAGGUAAUAAAUAAACUAUAUGAAAAAUGCACUACUGAUUGACAUAUCAUUUAGUAUAGAAAGAAACUAUAAAAUAUAUUUCCUUAAUUAUUCUGUGAUAAAAAUGGGGAAAAGGUGUAGUAGCCUUUAUAAACCAAUCAUAAAAUUGUCAUUAGGAAAACAUUGAACAAAAAUAUUGUAGCCCCUUCCUGCAGCUAACCUUGCUUCCACAGUCUCCACACAGCAAUAUAAACAACAGCUGUGCAUGAUCUCUUCACGCCGUUCUCGUAAAAUAAUAAUUCAAAUUAUGUUUACAAGCACACCGCUCCGCUGAGAACUCCACUUACCGGCAUCCGCGGACGUUAUUGAAGGCAUCCUGGUAGUGCCCUAUAUUACUAAAGGUGUUUGAACGUGAGGGAUCGUCCCGGAUCAUCAGGGGUGUAUUCCAGAAAGCAUGGUUAACUUACCGUCAGAUAAACCCUGAACUUUCGGUUGAUUAACCCCAAACCUUGCUUACUCGAGGUAUGUGUUUCCAAAAACGCGCCCGGGAGUAAGUUCAUUCAACUCAGAGUAUGUUCCUGGUUAAGACUCAAUACAUUCUCAACAAAGCGACGAAUCGACGAGUCACUAUGGAAACGGACGCUAAGAAUAAGCGCCAUACUGCUUCUUUCUUCUUCUUCUGUUCAAAGGUCAUGUAGGCCUUAUGCCAAAGACUAUAGACUUUGCUUAUGCUUAGUGCAUAUCGCCACCUAAUUGAUGGUUUUGCAAUCAUAUAUAUUUUUUUUUUUCUGUUUAAUCU